GAUGAACGCUGGCGGCGUGCCUAAUACAUGCAAGUCGAGCGAACGGACGAGAAGCUUGCUUCUCUGAUGUUAGCGGCGGACGGGCGAGUAACACGUGGAUAACCUACCUAUAAGACUGGGAUAACUUCGGGAAACCGGUGCUAAUACCGGAUAAUAUUUUGAACCGCAUGGUUCAAAAGUGAAAGACGGUCUUGCUGUCACUUAUAGAUGGAUCCGCGCUGCAUUAGCUAGUUGGUAAGGUAACGGCUUACCAAGGCAACGAUGCAUAGCCGACCUGAGAGGGUGAUCGGCCACACUGGAACUGAGACACGGUCCAGACUCCUACGGGAGGCAGCAGUAGGGAAUCUUCGGCAAUGGGCGAAAGCCUGACGGAGCAACGCCGCGUAAGUGAUGAAGGUCUUCGGGUCGUAAAACUCUGUUAUUAGGGAAGAACAUAUGUGUAAGUAACUGUGGACAUCUUGACGGUACCUAAUCAGAAAGCCACGGCUAACUUCGUG
rnacentral:rRNA from 1 species